CACGUAGGGGGCAAGCGUUGUCCGGAUUUAUUGGGCGUAAAGAGCUCGUAGGCGGCUUUGUAAGUCGGGUGUGAAACCUCCAGGCUCAACCUGGAGACGCCACCCGAUACUGCUGUGGCUAGAGUCCGGUAGGGGAGCGUGGAAUUCCUGGUGUAGCGGUGAAAUGCGCAGAUAUCAGGAGGAACACCAGCGGCGAAGGCGGCGCUCUGGGCCGGUACUGACGCUGAGGAGCGAAAGCGUGGGGAGCAAACAGG
rnacentral:rRNA from 1 species